CCUACGGGUGGCAGCAGUGGGGAAUAUUGGACAAUGGGCGAAAGCCUGAUCCGGCCAUGCCGCGUGUGUGAAGAAGGCUUUCGGGUUGUAAAGCACUUUCAGUGGGGAAGAAAGCCUUGGGGCUAAUACCCUCGAGGAAGGACAUCACCCACAGAAGAAGCACCGGCUAACUCCGUGCCAGCAGCCGCGGUAAUACGGAGGGUGCGAGCGUUAAUCGGAAUUACUGGGCGUAAAGCGCGCGUAGGCGGUCUGAUAAGCCGGUUGUGAAAGCCCCGGGCUCAACCUGGGAACGGCAUCCGGAACUGUCAGGCUAGAGUGCAGGAGAGGAAGGUAGAAUUCCCGGUGUAGCGGUGAAAUGCGUAGAGAUCGGGAGGAAUACCAGUGGCGAAGGCGGCCUUCUGGACUGACACUGACGCUGAGGUGCGAAAGCGUGGGUAGCAAACAGGAUUAGAUACCCGAGUAGUC
rnacentral:rRNA from 1 species